rnacentral:rRNA from 1 species
UGAGCAAUCUGCCCUUCUCUUCGGAAUAAGCGUUGGAAACGACGUCUAAUGCCGAAUACGACCUCCUUUCGCAUGAUCGGAGGUGGAAAGCUCCGGCGGAGAAGGAUGAGCUCGCGGCCUAUCAGCUAGUUGGUGUGGGUAACGGCCCACCAAGGCGACGACGGGUAGCCGGCCUGAGAGGGUGACCGGCCACACUGGGACUGAGACACGGUCCAGACUCCGUACGGGAGGCAGCAGG